AAAACAGUUAGGUCGAUUGCCGCCAAGGUAACCUAGAUGUCUGUACGUACUUAGGACAAAGUUCGAUAAUAACUUCAUGUCGAGAAAUAGUAACGUUAUCGCAAGUACAUAAAUAAUAAUAUAUAAAUCUCUUUGCGACCUAAAGGUUACAAUGACAGUUAGGUGAUCACAAAAACAGUUAGGUCGGUUGCCACCAAGGUAACCUACAUGUUUGUAUAUACGCACGCAGGACGAAGUUCAAUAAUAACCAUGUCGAGAAGUAGUAACGUUAUUGCAGGCGCAUAAUUAAUAAUAUGUUACAAUCACGAAGUAUAAAGAUGCACGUCAAUAGCCACAACUGAGAUUCUAGAAUCUAUUAUCGGCUUUGUUUAAUUUUCGACUAACAACAAAGAUAAAAUGAUUCCACGAGAGUUAGGAGCGUCAAGUCGAACGUGCAAAAUGCCCGAACUUCGAUUCAUACAUCUCGGAAAUUGUUUGAAAUUUACAAGUUGAUUAAUGCCAAAGAGGAUCUAAUCCUCUUUGAUUAAUACUUUCUUACUUCUCAAUAAAUUCAAAUGCUUAGUCAACUCUAUGAUUAUAUAAAAUUGUUUAGAACUAUUGUUAAGUCUCUCUGACAAAUAUAUUAAAAGAGGUAUACACUAUUAUCGAAUUUUGACAGAUUCCUGCGUAUAAAAUUAUAAAACUUUUAUUUUAUGAUACAGUCUUCUUAACAAUGCGCUUAUGUAUCUAUUUUUGAUAUCUUAAUAUGCAAUAAUGUACUUUAAAUGAACUGAUAUAAAUAUUGUCACUUAUUGCUUUAUACACGUCGAUAUUAUACAUUAACAAAAAAUAUGAUAUUAAUGAUUGUGUAAUGGAUUAUGGUACAUACAAGAUAUGGCAGUGCGCUUUCUGGUUUUCUGUGUAAGAUUCUAAAUCUUUCACAUGUUUCUAAUAGGUUAUAUAAAAUCCCCAAUCUUAGAAAGCUAAUUCUACUCUUGAAAAAUAUAUAUACACAUAUGUUAUCUUAAUAUGUUACCUUAAUUUUAUGUAAAUUUUAUGUUGAACUAAAGUUAACUUAGGUAUUUGCGGUAUAUACAUUCGUAUAUACAUUCGCUUUCAUACUUUUAAUAGAAUUCGUUACAAUUAUACACAUCUUAUUUAACUUAUUUAAUUAAAGUCAUAUACAUACAACUAAGCUGAUAAAUACAAUCAUGAUGUAAAUAUAAUAAUAUUUAAUAUUAUAUAAUAUAUAUUAUAUAAUAUUUAAUAUUAAAUAUUUAAUUAUAUAUAUUUACUUCAUGAAACACAAUGACAUGAAAUAAAAGAAGUUAAUGGGAAGUAUAAUUCUUAACAUCAUUAUAAAAAAGAUAUGAUUGACUGAAAUAUUAAGAUAUCAUUAUGUGUAAAUAAAUAACAUAUCAAAAAUAAUAAUUGUGUCAUUCUCAUUGUAUAUAUACUACAUUGUAUACUUGUAUAUUAAGGUACACCUAUAUAGAAACCCCUUAAAUUAAUUUAAAUCAUGGAUUGUUUUGCAAAAUUAUUAUAUGUAAUUAUGUUUAACAACUUAACUACAGGGGGCCAACUAUAAAAAUAAACUAUAAGGUGUACAUGACUACUAUCGACUAUUUGAUACAACAGAUUUAAAUGUGAAUUUUAACUGUUAAUUGAAUUUGUAGUAUUGUAACGAAUAAAUGUGAUUCUUAAUA